AAUGAACGUGAAAAACAGCCCAGAGGCGAAGACACACAAGAGCUUUGGGGUUUCCUGAGACUGCUGUCCCCAGACGGGCUCUCCAAAGCAUUCAGGGAUAAGAGGCAGCUGAGCUACAGUGAAAAAACACUGGACCUGGGCUCAGGAAAUCAGCUUAGAGUCUGAAUUCUGCUACUUGUCAUUUGGAUAGAGGUGUUUCUUUGAGAUCAAUUUUCACAUGUGUGAAAUGGUGAUAAUUCUACGUUCUCUGCUCCGUUUCUAAGCUGGCUGUGAGGAUGGAAGGAUAACGUUGAAAGGAAGGACUUCUGGUGAUGCAGAUUUCUUGGGAAAAUUGUUGAUUUUUCACUGUAUUCGGGAAGGAUGAGUUUUGAUGAUCAUUUCUUGUGCCUAAGGAUGCCAAAAGCCCACCGGACCAAAAUAAUAUUAAAGACAUCCAAGGAGAACAUCUCUGAAUGGGCGGCAAGAUUCCUCAGACAGGGGACACAGUUUCGAGCCCUGGUCCGGGAAGAUCCCACGUGCCGCGGAGCAACUAAGUCUGUG